GGGCAAGUCUGGUGCCAGCAGCCGCGGUAAUUCCAGCUCCAAUAGCGUAUAUUAAAGUUGUUGCAGUUAAAAAGCUCGUAGUUGAAUUUCGGGACUAAUAUGUCGGUCGUGCCUCGGUACGUACUGGUAUUUUUGGUCUCUCCCUUCUGACGAACCUUGAUGUCAUUAAUUUGGUGUCUUGGGAAAUCAGGACUGUUACUUUGAAAAAAUUAGAGUGUUUAAAGCAGGCUCACGCUUGAAUACAUUAGCAUGGAAUAAUGAAAUAGGACGUUUGAUUCUAUUUUGUUGGUUUCUAGGGUCGCCGUAAUGAUUAAUAGGGAUAGUUGGGGGCAUUAGUAUUCAGUUGCUAGAGGUGAAAUUCUUGGAUUUACUGAAGACUAACUACUGCGAAAGCAUUUGCCAAGGAUGUUUUCAUUAAUCAAGAACGAAGGUUAGGGGAUCGAAAACGAUCAGAUACCGUUGUAGUCUUAACAGUAAACUAUGCCGACUAGGGAUCGGACGAGCUCAUUUUUAUGUGUCGUUCGGCGCCUUACGGGAAAC
rnacentral:rRNA from 1 species